AUGAGCACUGCGGGGGAAUGCUUUGCUGAAAUUCGUAGAUUGAACGAUGAAGCGGACGACAAUUAUAAACAGUCUAUUGCUUUAAAAAUGAGAUUGGAUCAAAUUGUCGGUCAUGAAAUUCCAAAACUUCUCAAAGCAAUUAAAGCAUGUAAAAAUUAUAACCCUCUUACAAACUCAACUCACUAUCAGAUAGGUAGAGGGUUGCACAAGCGGGGUAGAAGAAAGCAAAAGAAGCUCACACCUAGAGAACUGUACUGGAAAAGGAGACGUAGAUUGAUAACAAAGGCGAGAAAAACUCUUGCCAGGUCCAGAAGUAAACAAAAACAUAAAAGCAAUAGAGACUCAAUGAGGUCAGACCCGGCUUCUUCUUCCACUACAGACACCCAGAGGGAUGGACAUUCUCCUGAACCUCAACAGGUAGAAUCCCCAUCUAACGAGGUUGAGUACCGACCUCAACAGGAAGACACCUCUGGUGAGGAGGAUGAUGGGUCACCCCCUGUGUUUGCAGAAUGCGUGCACAGGUGGCAAUUUACUUUUCCUAGUUAUAACACAUUGCGGAUCGGGGAGGUAUACCGUUUCAGAAAUUUAGAAACCGUGAGGUCAUAUGCACAGGUUAUAAAUGCAUUAUACACAGCGAUCCAGGGCAUCUUAGACAAUCUGAACCAGAGAAUUGAUCCCGAAGAUUUUGUUCAGGUGAGAUUAGAAGCCUCAGGGUUACGAAAUCCACUCUUCUCUUUUAAAAGAAGUAGGGAUCUCUUUAAUGCUGAGGAGUUUCUAGUCCAGCUGAGUCGUCUAUUACAGAGCAAUAUGGAAAUCUGCGCUCAUGGUGAUUUUGAGCUCGUGGUCACUAUAACAAAACCGCCACAAGGUGGAGCACGUCGAAAACUGAGUUCCAUUCCAGCCAGUGAAAUAAUUGCUAGGAAGAGACAGUAUCUGAUAGACCUGAAUUAUGCAGGUGGCAAUAUGUGUUUUGCUGGAGCUUUAUUUGGUGUUAUGAGUUUACAUAAACCCACAGAUUCAGAAAUGUUGACAGCUGCUCAAAAACUGCAUAUGGAACUCGGAUGGUCUGAUCAAAAAAAGGUAACCCUUAAUGAUAUUUCUACUGUUGAACAACAUUUAAGAGUCAAUAUCGAUGUUGCUUAUUACUCAAAAAAGUCAGAGUGGGCUCUGUUUAAAACACAGGGCCCCAUUUAUCCUCAAGCCUAUACUCUACUCUUACAUGAUGAGCAUUUCUAUGGGGUUCUGAAUGUAAAAGCGCUAUUUGGCAUCCGAAACUACUGUCAAUUUUGUCGCAAACUCUAUAAUCAUGACCAUCAUUCAUGUCUAUUUUAUUGCAGAAUGUGUUUGAGAAAGGGGUGUGAUAAUGUGAUAGGGAAACAGGUUCGAUGCCCCCGAUGUAAGUUUCAUUGUAGGUCUGAGGCUUGCUUAAAAUUACACCAACAGCUGGGUUUAGAGAAGAAAGUCAAA
rnacentral:lncRNA from 1 species